rnacentral:tRNA from 1 species
GAGAGGAUAACUAAGGAAAAGUUUUAUACUUACAACAUAAAAAUGUCCGUUUAAUUCGGGCUUCUCUUA